rnacentral:rRNA from 1 species
UACGUAGGGUGCGAGCGUUGUCCGGAAUUAUUGGGCGUAAAGAGCUCGUAGGCGGUGUGUCACGUCGAUCGUGAAAACUUACAGCUUAACUGUGAGCGUGCGGUCGAUACGGGCAUCACUGGAGUUCGGCAGGGGAGACUGGAAUUCCUGGUGUAGCGGUGAAAUGCGCAGAUAUCAGGAGGAACACCGGUGGCGAAGGCGGUUCUCUGGGCAUGAUCUGACGCUGAGGAGCGAAAGUGUGGGGAGCGAACAGG